CCUACGGGAGGCAGCAGUAGGGAAUCUUCCGCAAUGGACGAAAGUCUGACGGAGCAACGCCGCGUGAGUGAAGAAGGUUUUCGGAUCGUAAAACUCUGUUGUCAGGGAAGAACAAGUAUGGGAGUAACUGCCCGUACCUUGACGGUACCUGGCCAGAAAGCCACGGCUAACUACGUGCCAGCAGCCGCGGUAAUACGUAGGUGGCAAGCGUUGUCCGGAAUUAUUGGGCGUAAAGCGCGCGCAGGCGGCCUUUUAAGUCUGAUGUGAAAGCCCCCGGCUCAACCGGGGAGGGUCAUUGGAAACUGGAAGACUUGAGUGCAGAAGAGAAGAGCGGAAUUCCACGUGUAGCGGUGAAAUGCGUAGAGAUGUGGAGGAACACCAGUGGCGAAGGCGGCUCUUUGGUCUGUAACUGACGCUGAGGCGCGAAAGCGUGGGGAGCAAACAGGAUUAGAUACCCUGGUAGUCCACGCCGUAAACGAUGAGUGCUAAGUGUUGGGGGGUUUCCGCCCCGUUCNGUGCUGCAGCUACGCAUUAAGACACUCCGCCGUCGGGGUAGGUACGGCCGGCCGACGGCGUCGAACGUACGAAAGAAGUAGUACGGACGUGAGACGACGACGACGACGACGACGAGGAGGAGGAGG
rnacentral:rRNA from 1 species